AUGCUGGAUUUAGCAGCCCCCUCUGUGAGCGUACAACGUGCUGAAGACACGCAGUUAAAGAAUGCUUGUUCAGGAGAUUUCAUGUAUGUAAACUGGAGCAAGGUGCCUUUUUCACUCUGAUAACUGCAGCAGGCACAUGACCAUAAGAUAUAGCGACCUUUGAUGUGUGGAAAACACAGUGAGUAACAUAUCCUCUGUUUAAAAUGUUACAUAUAUUUUGGGAAACAUUUCAAAAUGACAACAGGGUGUAUAAUGCAAUUAUUGUUGUACUGUCUGAUUUAUUGUGUAUAUGUCCACAGGAUAUAUUAAGAUUUUAAGAAUUAAAUUAUAUUUUAUGAAACAGACUGCUUAAU
rnacentral:lncRNA from 1 species